rnacentral:lncRNA from 10 species
GUUAUUGGUGAGAAUCUGGGGAGAGGCGCCUGGAUAGCUCUGAUUCUACCCACCUAGGAGGUCUGAGACCCUCCCAACUCCUCCCCGACUCCCAGCCUCAGUGUUGUCGCUGAAACCCUCUUGAGCUGAUGGUGCCUACGCGGGGUCAAAUGCAUUCUUCUCACCGGCCUCGGCCCCAACGUGUCAUGUAACCUCGUGUUAGUCACUCAACCUCUUUGGCCUUGUGCUUCCACAUCUGUAAAAUGAGAAGUUGCCUCCGCCCACACCUUUGCCCCUC